rnacentral:lncRNA from 1 species
UGAAAUCAAAUUUCUUAUUCAUAUAAGAAUUUGUACAAUCUGUUCAUAUAUAUUAAAAAUACACAGUCUUCAUAAACAAUCUGUACAAUCUGUUCACUACAUUUGAACACAGGACAACUAUCCUACAUUUGAACACAGGACAACUAUCCUACAUUUGAACACAGGAAACCUAUCCUACAACCAUCACCAUCAAUUUGAACAAACAUCUGAAUUCCCUUUCAGGUUUCUUC